UCUCUGACAAGGGGGUUCAAUGGUAGAGCAUUCAACUGCAGAUCGAAUGGUUCCCGGUUCAAACCCGGGAGUCUUCUUCAGGGAA